CUCCAUUCUCUACCCUUAAAUCACUUAAGCACAAAGGCAGAAGGCAUUGCAAAGUGCAAUGGUUCUUAGCGUCAUGGGUGAAAUGUUUUUACAACAAAAAUGAGUGAAAGAUUAGAGCUUAGUGGACAUGUCUGCUGUCAACACAACAGGAGCUCCAGAGCCUCAGUGGGUAAACAGACCUUCCAGAAAUCAGGAUUUCCAGCGUCCCCUGAGACUUGUGGCUCGGCACAGACAUCCCAUCAGAUCGAGCACCUGCCUGCCUGACGGCUCCCGCUCUGCACAGCACACACACAGGCCCAUGAAUGAAGGGUGAGUCCUGGGAGGAUGUGCUGUCUUACUCCCUAGAGUGGACCAGCUCUGGAGCUGACUCGGUGCUUCUGGGAGCUGCCAGGAGCUGCAAAGAGAGAUGGAUGAGCUGCU
rnacentral:lncRNA from 1 species